GUCAGUCUGUCUGUCUGUCUGUCUGUCUGUCUGUCUGUCUGUCUGUCUCUCUCUCUCCCUCUCUCCCUCUCUCUCUGUCUCUCUGUCUCUCUGUCUCUCUCUCUCUCUCUCUCUCUCUCUCUUCUCUCUCUCUCUGUGUGUGUGUGUAGGAGCUGGGUUAUAGUUAUGUAGAGAUGAAUGCCAGCUGUCUCUGUGUGUGUGUGUAGGAGCUGGGUUAUAGUUAUGUAGAGAUGAAUGCCAGCUCUGUCUCUGUGUGUGUGUGUAGGAGCUGGGUUAUAGUUAUGUAGAGAUGAAUGCCAGCUGUCUCUGUGUGUGUGUGUGUAGGAGCUGGGUUAUAGUUAUGUAGAGAUGAAUGCCAGCUGUCUCUGUGUGUGUGUAGGAGCUGGGUUAUAGUUAUGUAGAGAUGAAUGCCAGCUGUCUCUGUGUGUGUGUGUAGGAGCUGGGUUAUAGUUAUGUAGAGAUGAAUGCCAGCUGUCUCUGUGUGUGUGUGUAGGAGCUGGGUUAUAGUUAUGUAGAGAUGAAUGCCAGCUGUCUCUGUGUGUGUGUGUGAGCUGGGUUAUAGUUAUGUAGAGAUGAAUGCCAGCUGUCUCUGUGUGUGUGUGUGUAGGAGCUGGGUUAUAGUUAUGUAGAGAUGAAUGCCAGCUGUCUCUGUGUGUGUGUGUGUGUUAGGAGCUGGGUUAUAGUUAUGUAGAGAUGAAUGCCAGCUCUGUCUCUGUGUGUGUGUGUGUGUAGGAGCUGGGUUAUAGUUAUGUAGAGAUGAAUGCCAGCUGUCUCUGUGUGUGUGUGUGUAGGAGCUGGGUUAUAGUUAUGUAGAGAUGAAUGCCAGCUGUCUCUGUGUGUGUGUGUGUAGGAGCUGGGUUAUAGUUAUGUAGAGAUGAAUGCCAGCUGUCUCUGUGUGUGUGUGUAGGAGCUGGGUUAUAGUUAUGUAGAGAUGAAUGCCAGCUGUCUCUGUGUGUGUGUGUGUAGGAGCUGGGUUAUAGUUAUGUAGAGAUGAAUGCCAGCUGUCUCUGUGUGUGUGUGUGUAGGAGCUGGGUUAUAGUUAUGUAGAGAUGAAUGCCAGCUGUCUCUGUGUGUGUGUGUAGGAGCUGGGUUAUAGUUAUGUAGAGAUGAAUGCCAGCUGUCUCUGUGUGUGUGUGUAGGAGCUGGGUUAUAGUUAUGUAGAGAUGAAUGCCAGCUGUCUCUCUGUGUGUGUAGGAGCUGGGUUAUAGUUAUGUAGAGAUGAAUGCCAGCUGUCUCUGUGUGUGUGUGUGUAGGAGCUGGGUUAUAGUUAUGUAGAGAUGAAUGCCAGCUGUCUCUGUGUGUGUGUGUAGGAGCUGGGUUAUAGUUAUGUAGAGAUGAAUGCCAGCUCUGUCUCUGUGUGUGUGUGUAGGAGCUGGGUUAUAGUUAUGUAGAGAUGAAUGCCAGCUGUCUCUGUGUGUGUGUGUGUAGGAGCUGGGUUAUAGUUAUGUAGAGAUGAAUGCCAGCUGUCUCUGUGUGUGUGUGUAGGAGCUGGGUUAUAGUUAUGUAGAGAUGAAUGCC
rnacentral:lncRNA from 1 species